UCACGUCUUGCGACGGCGGUUUCAUUAGAGUUCCCAGCUUUACCUGAUGGCAACUAAUGAUGGGGGUUGCGCUCGUUGCGCCACUUAAGGCAACACCUCACGGCACGAGCUGACGACAGCCAUGCAGCACCUGUGCAGGCUCCCGAAGGAGCACCGUGUUUCCACGGUUUCACCCUGCAUGUCAAGCCCUGGUAAGGCUCUUCGCGUUGCGUCGAAUUAAGCCACAUGCUCCGCCGCUUGUGCGGGCCCCCGUCAAUUCCUUUGAGUUUCAGCCUUGCGGCCGUACUCCCCAGGCGGGACACUUACUGCGUUAGCGACGGCACCGGGAGGGUCGCUCCCCCCGACGCCUAGUGUCCAUCGUUUACGGCGUGGACUAC
rnacentral:misc_RNA from 1 species